rnacentral:SRP_RNA from 1 species
GCUGGGCACAGUGGCAGGUGCUUGUAGUCCCAGAUAGUCGGGAGGCUGAGGUGGGAGGAUCGCUUGAGCCUAGGAGUUCUGGGCUGCAGUGCGCUACACCAAUUGCGUGUCCACACUAAGUUCAGCAUCAAUAUGGUGACCUCCCUGGAGUGGGAGAACACCAGGUUGCCUAACGGGGGUGAACAGGCCCAGUUUGGAAGCAGAGUAGGUCAAAACUCCUGUGCUGAUCAGUAGUGGGAUCACACCUGUGAGUGUGAAAAGGCACUGCACUCCAGCCUGGGCAACAUAGCGAGACCCUGUCUCU